UCACAGUGUUAAGAGGAUUACACUGGGUCCUGUGGGAAACAGAAGGGGCCGUGGAUGUUUCUGGCAUUCUGUAAGGGACUGAUGAUUAUUAAAAAGAUGUAUGUCAAAGACGGUGUCUCAUUGGUUUCAGUGCGUUCUGUGGAUGAUGUCUUGUCGGUUUACCUGUGCGUGGGUGAUGACUGGGUGGGAUGUUCUGGAAGGUAGAAGCGGUGGCACUUGGCUGCCUGGCGAAUUUCUGGCUCCAUCGUCUUGGAAACGUCAUAGUAGUGCCCGAACCGGGAUGAAGAGGCCAGGGCAGUCUGAGGAGGUCAACAAGUCAAACUCAUGUCAAGAUUCUGAUAGCGCCAGGCAAUCUUCAUGGCGUCCAAACCAUCCUGAGGUUCACACGACAGCCUGGGCUGCUCUGGAGGUUUGUGCAGGGCAACAUCAUCCAGGAUGGGAGCCGGGAGUUCCUACAGGAGAUGAUACAAAUUCUGACGCUGGUUUGGUUGAGGGGGGAAACGCCUCUGCUUCAUUUGCCUUCAAACAGGCGAGAGUCCUGAAUCAUAUCUGCUAAAGGCGCAGGGGGAGGAG